UAUACUUGUAGAACUAUUGCUUGGAAUCUAAUUGCAAGUUUCUACUGUCGACUGUCAUACUAGAUAUGGUCUUAUGACUGCAUUAGAACCUUGGUCAGGCAACUAUAAUGUUUGCCCCCCCCUCCCUCCCUUCAUAUGGAAAGCAGCACAUACAACUCAAUUUACUUCUAUUGGCUGGAAAUAUUUAAAGCAUGACAGUGGCGUAGGUAAAUUACCAAAUAGUGGAUCUUAUGUUGGAUUGAUCAGCCCUGAUGAACUGACCUGACCAUUGUAAUUGAAACCAUAACUCAUGACCACUCUAUCUGUAUAGGUCCUGGUAUACCCUGGGAUGAUGUUCUAUGGACUU
rnacentral:sRNA from 1 species